rnacentral:rRNA from 1 species
AGUCGAGCGGACAGAUGGGAGCUUGCUCCCUGAUGUUAGCGGCGGACGGGUGAGUAACACGUGGGUAACCUGCCUGUAAGACUGGGAUAACUCCGGGAAACCGGGGCUAAUACCGGAUGCUUGUUUGAACCGCAUGGUUCAGACAUAAAAGGUGGCUUCGGCUACCACUUACAGAUGGACCCGCGGCGCAUUAGCUAGUUGGUGAGGUAACGGCUCACCAAGGCGACGAUGCGUAGCCGACCUGAGAGGGUGAUCGGCCACACUGGGACUGAGACACGACCCAAACUCCUACGGGAGGCAGCAGUAGGGAAUCUUCCGCAAUGGACGAAAGUCUGACGGAGCAACGCCGCGUGAGUGAUGAAGGUUUUCGGAUCGUAAAGCUCUGUUGUUAGGGAAGAACAAGUGCCGUUCAAAUAGGGCGGCACCUUGACGGUACCUAACCAGAAAGCCACGGCUAACUACGUGCCAGCAGCCGCGGUAAUACGUAGGUGGCAAGCGUUGUCCGGAAUUAUUGGGCGUAAAGGGCUCGCAGGCGGUUUCUUAAGUCUGAUGUGAAAGCCCCCGGCUCAACCGGGGAGGGUCAUUGGAAACUGGGGAACUUGAGUGCAGAAGAGGAGAGUGGAAUUCCACGUGUAGCGGUGAAAUGCGUAGAGAUGUGGAGGAACACCAGUGGCGAAGGCGACUCUCUGGUCUGUAACUGACGCUGAGGAGCGAAAGCGUGGGGAGCGAACAGGAUUAGAUACCCUGGUAGUCCACGCCGUAAACGAUGAGUGCUAAGUGUUAGGGGGUUUCCGCCCCUUAGUGCUGCAGCUAACGCAUUAAGCACUCCGCCUGGGGAGUACGGUCGCAAGACUGAAACUCAAAGGAAUUGACGGGGGCCCGCACAAGCGGUGGAGCAUGUGGUUUAAUUCGAAGCAACGCGAAGAACCUUACCAGGUCUUGACAUCCUCUGACAAUCCUAGAGAUAGGACGUCCCCUUCGGGGGCAGAGUGACAGGUGGUGCAUGGUUGUCGUCAGCUCGUGUCGUGAGAUGUUGGGUUAAGUCCCGCAACGAGCGCAACCCUUGAUCUUAGUUGCCAGCAUUCAGUUGGGCACUCUAAGGUGACUGCCGGUGACAAACCGGAGGAAGGUGGGGAUGACGUCAAAUCAUCAUGCCCCUUAUGACCUGGGCUACACACGUGCUACAAUGGACAGAACAAAGGGCAGCGAAACCGCGAGGUUAAGCCAAUCCCACAAAUCUGUUCUCAGUUCGGAUCGCAGUCUGCAACUCGACUGCGUGAAGCUGGAAUCGCUAGUAAUCGCGGAUCAGCAUGCCGCGGUGAAUACGUUCCCGGGCCUUGUACACACCGCCCGUCAGGCCACGAGAGUUUGUAACACCCGAAGUCGGUGAGGUAACCUUUUAGGA